GUUAUCGGAUUCACUUUAAUCCAUGUGUGUUGGUGUGGAUUGUGGUGGAUUUUAGUUUAAGUUCUACUCCAGUCCACCUCAACACAUGUGGAUUGAUGUGAAUCCAACU
rfam:Sorghum bicolor cultivar BTx623 chromosome 8, whole genome shotgun sequence.